rnacentral:pre_miRNA from 1 species
UGAGAACUGAAUUCCAUGGACUGGUUUCAAUUCCAUGCGUUCAGUCCAUGGUAUUCAGUUCUCUA